CCGGUCAGUUCCCAAACUCCGAGCUCGCAAUCGGGCCCCUAACUCUGGGCCGGCCUGUACCAAGCGCGCGAUCCCAUCCCGGAACCAAAGCCCUGUUCUCUAGGGAACACUCCACCUCGGUGUCUCGCAGGCCACCCUUUAACAACCCCAGGAAGGCACCCUGGUGAUAAUAAAAGCAACGUGGCUAAUGUUCAUGGAGGGUUCACA